rnacentral:rRNA from 1 species
UACGGAGGAUGCAAGCGUUAUCCGGAAUUAUUGGGCGUAAAGCGUCCGCAGGGGGCUAUGUAAGUCUGCUGUUAAAGAGUCUGGCUCAACCAGAUAAAGGCAGUGGAAACUACAUGGCUAGAGUGCGUUCGGGGCAGAGGGAAUUCCUGGUGUAGCGGUGAAAUGCGUAGAGAUCAGGAAGAACACCGGUGGCGAAAGCGCUCUGCUAGGCCGCAACUGACACUGAGGGACGAAAGCUAGGGGAGCGAAUGGG